GUCUAUGGCCAUGCCACCCUGAAUGUACCCGAUCCCAUCUGAUCUUGGAAGCUAAGCAGGGUUGGGCCUGGUUAGUACUUGGAUGGGAGACCACCUAGGAAGAUCAGGUGCUAUAGGCG
rnacentral:rRNA from 1 species